UGCUGCACCCUUGUCUUUUGCGUACCGUAUGUUUCCUCGGCGGGCUUGCCUGCCGGUUGGACAU
rnacentral:rRNA from 1 species